rnacentral:rRNA from 2 species
GGGUUGUGAGGUUAAGCGACUAAGCGUACACGGUGGAUGCCCUGGCAGUCAGAGGCGAUGAAGGACGUGCUAAUCUGCGAUAAGCGCCGGUAAGGUGAUAUGAACCGUUAUAACCGGCGAUUUCCGAAUGGGGAAACCCAGUGUGAUUCGUCACACUAUCAUUAACUGAAUCCAUAGGUUAAUGAGGCGAACCGGGGGAACUGAAACAUCUAAGUACCCCGAGGAAAAGAAAUCAACCGAGAUUCCCCCAGUAGCGGCGAGCGAACGGGGAGGAGCCCAGAGCCUGAAUCAGCAUGUGUGUUAGUGGAAGCGUCUGGAAAGGCGCGCGAUACAGGGUGACAGCCCCGUACACAAAAGCGCAUGUGCUGUGAGCUCGAUGAGUAGGGCGGGACACGUGGUAUCCUGUCUGAAUAUGGGGGGACCAUCCUCCAAGGCUAAAUACUCCUGACUGACCGAUAGUGAACCAGUACCGUGAGGGAAAGGCGAAAAGAACCCCGGCGAGGGGAGUGAAAAAGAACCUGAAACCGUGUACGUACAAGCAGUGGGAGCACAGGUUUACCUGUGUGACUGCGUACCUUUUGUAUAAUGGGUCAGCGACUUAUAUUCUGUAGCAAGGUUAACCGAAUAGGGGAGCCGGAGGGAAACCGAGUCUUAACCGGGCGUUAAGUUGCAGGGUAUAGACCCGAAACCCGGUGAUCUAGCCAUGGGCAGGUUGAAGGUUGGGUAACACUAACUGGAGGACCGAACCGACUAAUGUUGAAAAAUUAGCGGAUGACCUGUGGCUGGGGGUGAAAGGCCAAUCAAACCGGGAGAUAGCUGGUUCUCCCCGAAAGCUAUUUAGGUAGCGCCUCGUGAAUUCAUCUCCGGGGGUAGAGCACUGUUUCGGCUAGGGGGCCAUCCCGGCUUACCAACCCGAUGCAAACUGCGAAUACCGGAGAAUGUUAUCACGGGAGACACACGGCGGGUGCUAACGUCCGUCGUGAAGAGGGAAACAACCCAGACCGCCAGCUAAGGUCCCAAAGUCAUGGUUAAGUGGGAAACGAUGUGGGAAGGCCCAGACAGCCAGGAUGUUGGCUUAGAAGCAGCCAUCAUUUAAAGAAAGCGUAAUAGCUCACUGGUCGAGUCGGCCUGCGCGGAAGAUGUAACGGGGCUAAACCAUGCACCGAAGCUGCGGCAGCGAACGUAUCACCCAAGACAACUUUACGGAGUUGACGAUUGACGGAGCGAAGCGACGUCAAAGCGUUCAUUAAAGUCGAGUUGGCUUAGGGAUACGUUCGUUGGGUAGGGGAGCGUUCUGUAAGCCUGUGAAGGUGGCCUGUGAGGGUUGCUGGAGGUAUCAGAAGUGCGAAUGCUGACAUAAGUAACGAUAAAGCGGGUGAAAAGCCCGCUCGCCGGAAGACCAAGGGUUCCUGUCCAACGUUAAUCGGGGCAGGGUGAGUCGACCCCUAAGGCGAGGCCGAAAGGCGUAGUCGAUGGGAAACGGGUUAAUAUUCCCGUACUUGGUGUUACUGCGAAGGGGGGACGGAGAAGGCUAUGUUGGCCGGGCGACGGUUGUCCCGGUUUAAGCGUGUAGGUGUGUGUUCCAGGUAAAUCCGGUUCACUUUAACACUGAGGCGUGAUGACGAGGCACUACGGUGCUGAAGCAACAAAUGCCCUGCUUCCAGGAAAAGCCUCUAAGCAUCAGGUAACAUCAAAUCGUACCCCAAACCGACACAGGUGGUCAGGUAGAGAAUACCAAGGCGCUUGAGAGAACUCGGGUGAAGGAACUAGGCAAAAUGGUGCCGUAACUUCGGGAGAAGGCACGCUGACACGUAGGUGAAGUGAUUUACUCACGGAGCUGAAGUCAGUCGAAGAUACCAGCUGGCUGCAACUGUUUAUUAAAAACACAGCACUGUGCAAACACGAAAGUGGACGUAUACGGUGUGACGCCUGCCCGGUGCCGGAAGGUUAAUUGAUGGGGUCAGCGCAAGCGAAGCUCCUGAUCGAAGCCCCGGUAAACGGCGGCCGUAACUAUAACGGUCCUAAGGUAGCGAAAUUCCUUGUCGGGUAAGUUCCGACCUGCACGAAUGGCGUAAUGAUGGCCAGGCUGUCUCCACCCGAGACUCAGUGAAAUUGAACUCGCUGUGAAGAUGCAGUGUACCCGCGGCAAGACGGAAAGACCCCGUGAACCUUUACUAUAGCUUGACACUGAACAUUGAGCCUUGAUGUGUAGGAUAGGUGGGAGGCUUUGAAGUGUGGACGCCAGUCUGCAUGGAGCCGACCUUGAAAUACCACCCUUUAAUGUUUGAUGUUCUAACGUGGACCCGUAAUCCGGGUUGCGGACAGUGUCUGGUGGGUAGUUUGACUGGGGCGGUCUCCUCCUAAAGAGUAACGGAGGAGCACGAAGGUUGGCUAAUCCUGGUCGGACAUCAGGAGGUUAGUGCAAUGGCAUAAGCCAGCUUGACUGCGAGCGUGACGGCGCGAGCAGGUGCGAAAGCAGGUCAUAGUGAUCCGGUGGUUCUGAAUGGAAGGGCCAUCGCUCAACGGAUAAAAGGUACUCCGGGGAUAACAGGCUGAUACCGCCCAAGAGUUCAUAUCGACGGCGGUGUUUGGCACCUCGAUGUCGGCUCAUCACAUCCUGGGGCUGAAGUAGGUCCCAAGGGUAUGGCUGUUCGCCAUUUAAAGUGGUACGCGAGCUGGGUUUAGAACGUCGUGAGACAGUUCGGUCCCUAUCUGCCGUGGGCGCUGGAGAACUGAGGGGGGCUGCUCCUAGUACGAGAGGACCGGAGUGGACGCAUCACUGGUGUUCGGGUUGUCAUGCCAAUGGCACUGCCCGGUAGCUAAAUGCGGAAGAGAUAAGUGCUGAAAGCAUCUAAGCACGAAACUUGCCCCGAGAUGAGUUCUCCCUGAGACUUAGAGUCUCCUGAAGGAACGUUGAAGACGACGACGUUGAUAGGCCGGGUGUGUAAGCGCAGCGAUGCGUUGAGCUAACCGGUACUAAUGAACCGUGAGGCUUAACCUUACAACGCCGAAG